rnacentral:rRNA from 1 species
UACGUAGGGGGCUAGCGUUGUCCGGAUUAAUUGGGCGUAAAGGGCUCGAGGGCGGCCAAUUAAGUCAGAGGUGAAAUCCCUCGGCUUAACCGGGGAACUGCAUCUGAUACUGGAUGGCUUGAGUUCGGGAGAGGGAUGCGGAAUUCCAGGUGUAGCGGUGAAAUGCGCAGAUAUCAGGAGGAACACCGAUGGCGAAGGCAGGUCUCUGGGCCACUACUGACGCUGAGAAGCGAAAGCAUGGGGAGCGAACAGG